rnacentral:rRNA from 1 species
GUGGCGAACGGGUGAGUAACACGUGGGCAAUCUGCCCUUCACUCUGGGACAAGCCCUGGAAACGGGGUCUAAUACCGGAUAACACUCUGUCCCGCAUGGGGCGGGGUUGAAAGCUCCGGCGGUGAAGGAUGAGCCCGCGGCCUAUCAGCUUGUUGGUGGGGUGAUGGCCUACCAAGGCGACGACGGGUAGCCGGCCUGAGAGGGCGACCGGCCACACUGGGACUGAGACACGGCCCAGACUCCUACGGGAGGCAGCAGUGGGGAAUAUUGCACAAUGGGCGAAAGCCUGAUGCAGCGACGCCGCGUGAGGGAUGACGGCCUUCGGGUUGUAAACCUCUUUCAGCAGGGAAGAAGCGAAAGUGACGGUACCUGCAGAAGAAGCGCCGGCUAACUACGUGCCAGCAGCCGCGGUAAUACGUAGGGCGCAAGCGUUGUCCGGAAUUAUUGGGCGUAAAGAGCUCGUAGGCGGCUUGUCACGUCGGAUGUGAAAGCCCGGGGCUUAACCCCGGGUCUGCAUUCGAUACGGGCUAGCUAGAGUGUGGUAGGGGAGAUCGGAAUUCCUGGUGUAGCGGUGAAAU